AUGAACGCUGGCGGCGUGCCUAAUACAUGCAAGUCGAGCGAACGGACGAGAAGCUUGCUUCUCUGAUGUUAGCGGCGGACGGGUGAGUAACACGUGGAUAACCUACCUAUAAGACUGGGAUAACUUCGGGAAACCGGAGCUAAUACCGGAUGAUAUUUUGAACCGCAUGGUUCAAAAGUGAAAGACGGUCUUGCUGUCACUUAUAGAUGGAUCCGCGCUGCAUUAGCUAGUUGGUAAGGUAACGGCUUACCAAGGCAACGAUGCAUAGCCGACCUGAGAGGGUGAUCGGCCACACUGGAACUGAGACACGGUCCAGACUCCUACGGGAGGCAGCAGUAGGGAAUCUUCCGCAAUGGGCGAAAGCCUGACGGAGCAACGCCGCGUGAGUGAUGAAGGUCUUCGGAUCGUAAAACUCUGUUAUUAGGGAAGAACAUAUGUGUAAGUAACUGUGCACAUCUUGACGGUGCCUAAUCAGAAAGCCACGGCUAACUACGUG
rnacentral:rRNA from 1 species